rnacentral:rRNA from 1 species
UGGGGAAUUUUGGACAAUGGGCGCAAGCCUGAUCCAGCCAUGCCGCGUGCGGGAAGAAGGCCUUCGGGUUGUAAACCGCUUUUGUCAGGGAAGAAAUCUUCUGAGUUAAUACCUCGGGAGGAUGACGGUACCUGAAGAAUAAGCACCGGCUAACUACGUGCCAGCAGCCGCGGUAAUACGUAGGGUGCAAGCGUUAAUCGGAAUUACUGGGCGUAAAGCGUGCGCAGGCGGUUUUGUAAGACAGAGGUGAAAUCCCCGGGCUCAACCUGGGAACUGCCUUUGUGACUGCAAGGCUUGAGUGCGGCAGAGGGGGAUGGAAUUCCGCGUGUAGCAGUGAAAUGCGUAGAUAUGCGGAGGAACACCGAUGGCGAAGGCAAUCCCCUGGGCCUGCACUGACGCCCAUGCACGAAAGCGUGGGGAGCAAACAGGAUUAGAUACCCUGGUAGUGCCACGCCCUAAACGAUGUCAACUGGUUGUUGGGAAGGUUCCUUCUCAGUAAACGUAGCUAACGCGUGAAGUUGACCGCCUGGGGAGUACGGCCGCAAGGUUGAAACUC